UGUGCCUGGGCUAACUGGCUCUGACCUUUGGCCAGACAUGAAUGCACCAUUCUGCUGGCCUGUGGAAAGCUGUGGUGGCUACAUAAAGUUGAUAUGGAUGGGUUGAGGAAAGAAACUCUUCAAACUCUCUCUUCUGGUUUUGAUGCAGCAGAGACGUCUGCCUCAAGGGUUAAAAUAGUCCAUGGUCAGGGCUGGUUUGGGCGGCUCCAGUCUCUCCCUGUUUGGCCCUGCUGUUCCGAACGUUGUUAUGAUUGUAUAGUGGGCUCCAUCAACUGUCCAGGUCAAAGUCGGUCUGUCCCGAUGGUACUACCUGCUACUUGAUGAUGCCUGGUACUAGCCACCUCUGCUGCCUUCAACGUGGUACACUAGACUUUUACUGUCGAAGGUACCAUCAGAGCACCUCUCCCUACCCUGCAGGACAUCUAUACCAGAAGAGUACGGACAAGGGCCCAAACUAUCUUAAAGGACAUUUCAUUCCCUGGCCAUGGACUGUUUUAACCACUGAGGUCAAGCAGACGUCUCUGUUCCCACAUGGCUAAAACAGACUGAGGAGGAGUUUCUUUCCUCAUAAUCCAGUACCUGGCCUGUAGACAUGUUCGCAAUUUGGUGUUGGGGGAAUUUAUCACUUGAACUGAGUUAGUGGGUCCGUAGACAUGAAAAAUUACCGAGGUGCUUGUCUGCCACAGUGCCACGAAUUGCGCAAUGGUCAAAUCCAAUAUGGCCACCAUCGGCUAUGAUGAAAAUUCAACCUUUUUGUUUCUGAAUGUAUAGACACAUGUAAUACCUCCAUUUACACUUAUUAUGGUAUAUGGAAUUCAUUUCUGAUAUUGUUAUGACCAUAUUGGGUGAUUUAUGACCUUAAAAGGUCAUGGUCAAGGUCAUAUCUCUAUUCUGAAGACCUUGGCCAGGAAUAAAAAACAGAUGCAAUAAGUGUAAUUCUACUAAAUCUGACAUUUAACAUUAAUUGCUAAUAUUGCUUUUUAACAUUAAGGAUUAUAUUUGACAUUGAAAUGUCAAUGACAACAUAAUUGUUCAAUAACUGGAUUAAAAUUUCUUUCUUUAUAGCCACUUUUAUUGUAUUUUCCCCCACAAUUAUUUGUUUUUAUUAUAACAACACAUGAAGUGAA